rnacentral:misc_RNA from 1 species
UAACGUCAAGAGACAACCACCUCCCUCCCUUCGAUUCCCAUCCGGUCCCUCUCAGAUCAAUCGGAAUGAUGAUGGAACCGGAUAGCGGGAAGCUUUUUAUCGGAGGGAUUUCCUGGGACACGAAUGAAGACCGUCUCAGAGAGUAUUUCAAUGGCUUUGGGGAGGUGGUGGAGGCUAUGAUAAUGAAGGAUCGGACCACGGGCCGAGCCCGUGGAUUCGGGUUUAUUGUAUUCGCUGAUCCUGCUGUGGCGGAGAAGGUAGUUAUGCAAAAGCACAUGAUUG